CCUACGGGGGGCAGCAGUGGGGAAUAUUGGGCAAUGGGCGCAAGCCUGACCCAGCAACGCCGCGUGAAGGAAGAAGGCUUUCGGGUUGUAAACUUCUUUUCUCAGGGACGAAGAAAGUGACGGUACCUGAGGAAUAAGCCACGGCUAACUACGUGCCAGCAGCCGCGGGAAUACGUAGGUGGCAAGCGUUAUCCGGAAUUACUGGGUGUAACGGGCGUGUAGGCGGGACUGCAAGUCAGAUGUGAAAACUACGGGCUCACCCUGUGGCCUGCAUUUGAACCUGUAGUUCUUGAGUACUGGAGAGGCAGACGGAAUGCCUAGUGUAGCGGUGAAAUGCGUAGAUAUUAGGAGGAACACCAGUGGCGAAGGCGGGCUGCUGGACAGCAACUGACGCUGAGGCGCGAAAGCGUGGGGAGCAAACAGGAUUAGAUACCCUUGUAGUC
rnacentral:rRNA from 1 species